rnacentral:tRNA from 1 species
GCCGGUAUAGCUCAGUUGGUAGAGCAUCUCAUUCGUAAUGAGGGGGUCCGUGGUUCGAGUCCGCGUACCGGCACCA